GUUGAACGCUGGCGGCAGGCCUAACACAUGCAAGUCGAGCGGGGUUUUCGGACCUAGCGGCGGACGGGUGAGUAAUGCGUAGGAAGCUACCCGAUAGAGGGGGAUACCAGUUGGAAACGACUGUUAAUACCGCAUAAUGUCUACGGACCAAAGUGUGGGACCUUCGGGCCACAUGCUAUCGGAUGCGCCUACGUGGGAUUAGCUAGUUGGUGGGGUAAUGGCUCACCAAGGCGACGAUCCCUAGCUGGUUUGAGAGGAUGAUCAGCCACACUGGAACUGAGACACGGUCCAGACUCCUACGGGAGGCAGCAGUGGGGAAUAUUGGACAAUGGGCGCAAGCCUGAUCCAGCCAUGCCGCGUGUGUGAAGAAGGCCUUCGGGUUGUAAAGCACUUUCAGUAGGGAGGAAGGGUGUUGUGUUAAUAGCACAGCAUUUUGACGUUACCUACAGAAGAAGCACCGGCUAACUCUGUGCCAGCCGCCGCAGUAAGAC
rnacentral:rRNA from 1 species